AGUGAACGCUGGCGGCGUGCCUAAUACAUGCAAGUCGAACGGAGAUUAAGUAGCUUGCUAUUUAAUCUUAGUGGCGCACGGGUGAGUAAUAUAUAGCUAACUUGCCCAUUACUAAGGGACAACAGUUGGAAACGACUGCUAAUACCUUAUACUCCGUAUCUAUAUAAGUAGAUACGGGAAAGUUUUUCGGUAAUGGAUAGGGCUAUAUCGUAUCAGCUAGUUGGUAAGGUAAUGGCUUACCAAGGCUAUGACGCGUAACUGGUCUGAGAGGAUGAUCAGUCACACUGGAACUGAGACACGGUCCAGACUCCUACGGGAGGCAGCAGUAGGGAAGAUUGCGCAAUGGGGGAAACCCUGAAGCAGCAACGCCGCGUGGAGGAUGACACUUUUCGGAGCGUAAACUCCUUUUCUUGGGAAAGAAUUAUGACGGUACCCAAGGAAUAAGCACCGGCUAACUCCGUG
rnacentral:rRNA from 1 species